ACGCGUUAAGUAGACCGCCUGGGGAGUACGGUCGCAAGAUUAAAACUCAAAUGAAUUGACGGGGGCCCGCACAAGCGGUGGAGCAUGUGGUUUAAUUCGAUGCAACGCGAAGAACCUUACCUACUCUUGACAUCCAGAGAACUUUCCAGAGAUGGAUUGGUGCCUUCGGGAACUCUGAGACAGGUGCUGCAUGGCUGUCGUCAGCUCGUGUUGUGAAAUGUUGGGUUAAGUCCCGCAACGAGCGCAACCCUUAUCCUUGUUUGCCAGCGAGUAAUGUCGGGAACUCCAGGGAGACUGCCGGUGAUAAACCGGAGGAAGGUGGGGACGACGUCAAGUCAUCAUGGCCCUUACGAGUAGGGCUACACACGUGCUACAAUGGCGCAUACAGAGGGCAGCAAGCUAGCGAUAGUGAGCGAAUCCCAAAAAGUGCGUCGUAGUCCGGAUUGGAGUCUGCAACUCGACUCCAUGAAGUCGGAAUCGCUAGUAAUCGUGGAUCAGAAUGCCACGGUGAAUACGUUCCCGGGCCUUGUACACACCGCCCGUCACACCAUGGGAGUGGGCUGCAAAAGAAGUAGGUAGUUUAACCUUCGGGAGGACGCUUACCACUUUGU
rnacentral:rRNA from 1 species